CCCGUGAUAGCUCAGUCGGUAGAGCGGAGGACUGUAGAAAAAAGUCAAAUUGACAUCCUUAGGUCGCUGGUUCGAAUCCGGCUCGCGGGA